UACGUAGGGUGCGAGCGUUGUCCGGAAUUACUGGGCGUAAAGAGCUCGUAGGUGGUUUGUCGCGUUGUUCGUGAAAACUCACAGCUUAACUGUGGGCGUGCGGGCGAUACGGGCAGACUGGAGUACUGCAGGGGAGACUGGAAUUCCUGGUGUAGCGGUGGAAUGCGCAGAUAUCAGGAGGAACACCGGUGGCGAAGGCGGAUCUCUGGGCCGUAACUGACGCUGAGGAGCGAAAGCAUGGGUAGCGAACAGG
rnacentral:rRNA from 1 species